rnacentral:miRNA from 10 species
UUCGGUAUAUUGUUUAUGACAU